rnacentral:rRNA from 1 species
UUCCAGACUCCUACGGGAGGCAGCAGUGGGGAAUAUUGGGCAAUGGGCGCAAGCCUGACCCAGCAAUGCCGCGUGAAGGAAGAAGGCUUUCGGGUUGUAAACUUCUUUGACAGGGGAAGAGCAGAAGACGGUACCCUGAAAACAAGCCACGGCUAACUACGUGCCAGCAGCCGCGGUAAUACGUAGGUGGCAAGCGUUGUCCGGAUUUACUGGGUGUAAAGGGCGUGUAGCCGGGCUGACAAGUCAGAUGUGAAAUUCCGGGGCGCAACCCCGGACCUGCAUUUGAAACUGUUGGUCUUGAGUAUCGGAGAGGCAGGCGGAAUUCCUAGUGUAGCGGUGAAAUGCGUAGAUAUUAGGAGGAACACCAGUGGCGAAGGCGGACUGCUGGACGACAACUGACGGUGAGGCGCGAAAGCGUGGGGAGCAAACAGGAUUAGAUACCCGAGUAUA